rnacentral:lncRNA from 1 species
CAUGGUAAUAAGGGCCAAAGGAAACCAUCUUAGGAGUGAAGUAAUCCUCUUCGUUGUGUUUCUUGAAUCGCAUUUACUGGGGCACUUUCAGUAUUCGGCGACCAUCGAAAUACUUAUGAUGAUCUUCACCGUCAUCUUCUAUAAUCGGAAUUUUACAUUCGACAUCUCUGGUUUUAUUUGCUGAAGGGUGUUGGUCUUCCAUUACAUUCAGGAAUUGAAAUCUCCAAUUGCUAUGUGCUUGCUUUGUCGCAGUUGAUGCAAACUACCCCGCGUUUUCCACACUCUGAAUAAUUGAAGUACUGGGUACUGGUGCAUCAGACAAAUAUGACACCUUUCCGAAAAUAAAUCAUCACGUUUUCAAAACUUUUUUUUGUGGCAGGAGACAUCAAAACUUUGUUCGCCCUUAGCUAUUGAAUUGUUUUUUUUUUUUUCUUUUUUUGAUACCCAAGCGUCCACCUUACAGCGACUAAUUCUAAGGUCUACGAUCCAGCCACUCUUCACGCAGACAGGUAAACCGCGGUUGUGCCCCAAAUUGACCAGGAUCCAAGAGUCCCCCCAACUGAACUGUCAAAGUGUCGAGCGAGUGAAACCCAUAUAUGUGCCUUGCCUUCCAAAGAACUCCUGCCUUUCAAGAAAUAUCCUGCCUUCUAGAAGAAAGCCUUGCCUUCAAAAAGUCCCAUAGCGACCUCUGAACUGCCCGGCUUGAAGAAUUCCGUCCUUUGCCAGUUAGGAUGUGUCCGGGGCACUAUUGAA